rnacentral:rRNA from 1 species
AAUCAACGCUGGCGGCGUGCCUAACACAUGCAAGUCGAGCGAGAAAAGGGGAGCAAUCCCCUGAGUACAGCGGCGCACGGGUGAGUAACACGUGGGUAAUCUGCCCUGGAGUGGGGAAUAACACCGGGAAACCGGUGCUAAUACCGCAUACGAUCGCAAGGUCCGCGGACUUUGUGAUGAAAGGAGCAAUUCGCUCCAGGAGGAGCCCGCGGCUGAUUAGCUAGUUGGUGAGGUAAUGGCUCACCAAGGCAACGAUCAGUAUCCGGUCUGGGAGGACGGUCGGACACACUGGAACUGAGACACGGUCCAGACUCCUACGGGAGGCAGCAGUGGGGAAUUUUUGGCAAUGGGGGCAACCCUGACCAAGCAACGCCGCGUGGGUGAUGAAGUCUCUUGGGACGUAAAACCCUUUCGACGGGGACGAAGGCCGCAAGGUUUGACGGUACCCGUAGAAGAAGCCCCGGCUAACUCCGUGCCAGCAGCCGCCGUAACAC